GUCGAGAAUAAUUCACAAUGGACGAAAGUCUGAUGGUGCAACGCCGCGUGGAGGAUGACGGUCUUCGGAUUGUAAACUCCUGUCAUCCGGGAGUAAGACCUGGCUGUGAAUAGCAGACAGGGUUGAUAGUACCGGAAGAGGAAGGGACGGCUAACUUCGUGCCAGCAGCCGCGGUAAUACGAAGGUCCCGAGCGUUGUUCGGAAUCACUGGGCGUAAAGGGAGCGUAGGCGGCGUGGUAAGUCAGAUGUGAAAUCCCGGGGCUCAACCCCGGAACUGCAUCCGAUACUGCCGUGCUAGAGGAUUGGAGAGGUAGCUGGAAUUCUUGGUGUAGCAGUGAAAUGCGUGGAGAUCAAGAGGAACACUCGUGGCGAAAGCGAGCUACUGGACAAUAUCUGACGCUGAGGCUCGAAGGCCAGGGUAGCGAAAGGGAUUAGAAACCCGGGUAGUCC
rnacentral:rRNA from 1 species